GUGUACGUACAAGCAGUGGGAGCACCCUUCGGGGUGUGACUGCGUACCUUUUGUAUAAUGGGUCAGCGACUUAUAUUCUGUAGCAAGGUUAACCGUAUAGGGGAGCCGGAGGGAAACCGAGUCUUAACCGGGCGUUAAGUUGCAGGGUAUAGACCCGAAACCCGGUGAUCUAGCCAUGGGCAGGUUGAAGGUUGGGUAACACUAACUGGAGGACCGAACCGACUAAUGUUGAAAAAUUAGCGGAUGACCUGUGGCU
rnacentral:rRNA from 1 species